rnacentral:rRNA from 1 species
UACGUAGGGUGCAAGCGUUGUCCGGAAUUACUGGGCGUAAAGGGCUCGUAGGCGGCCAACUAAGUCAUACGUGAAAUCCCUCAGCUUAACUGGGGACCUGCGUGUGAUACUGGAUGGCUUGGAUUUGGGAGAGGGAUGCGGAAUUCCAGGUGUAGCGGUGAAAUGCGUAGAUAUCUGGAGGAACACCGGUGGCGAAGGCGGCAUCCUGGACCAAUAUUGACGCUGAGGAGCGAAAGCCAGGGGAGCAAACGGG